rnacentral:rRNA from 1 species
CCAAUAGCGUAUAUUAAAGUUGUUGCAGUUAAAAAGCUCGUAGUUGAAUUUCGGGGUUAGUAGGUUGGUCAUGCCUCUGGUAUGUACUGGUCUCACUGAUUCCUCCUUCCUGAUGAACCUUUAUGCCCUUUAUUUGGUGUUUUUGGGAAUUUGGACUGUUACUUUGAAAAAAAUAGGGUGUUUAAAGCAAGCUAACGCUUGAAUACAGUAGCAGGGAAUAAUGAAAUAGGACGUUCGAUCCUAUUUUGUUGGUUUCUAGGAUUGACGUAAUGAUUAAUAGGGGUAGUUGGGGGCAUUAGUAUUCAAUUGUCAGAGGUGAAAUUCUUGGAUUUAUUGAAGACUAACUACUGCGAAAGCAUUUGCCAAGGAUGUUUUCAUUAAUCAAGAACGAAAGUUAGGGGAUCGAAGACGAUCAGAUACCGUCGUAGUCUUAACCAUAAACUAUGCCGACUAGGGAUCGGAUGAUGUUAAUUUUUUAAUGACUCAUUCGGCGCCUUACG